GCAUAUUUUGUUUUUCAGAAUUGCUUUUUUUUUUCCUCUUUAGAUCCUUUUCUUUUCAUUAAAAAACUACUCUGGGAAGAGGGUUUUUUUUUUUCCUUAACAGAAAAAAAAAAAAAAAAAAGCCACGCUUGACUGAUAAUGCAUUGCUUUGGAUGGUGAAACAUUAUGAAAGUUUAAUUUUUAAUUAAAUCUGAAAUACCAAUUAUAACUGAAAGAGAUUUUAACCUGUUUCUUUUCAGACUGCCUGAAGUUACAUUUAGAGACUGAAAUCACUGCACCUUAAAAACAAAAGACUGAGCUGCACUGCAUUCCUAAUGUUUCGCCAUCACUAACUGGAUAUUCCUCAGAACUUUGCUGUCCGCAGUGGCUGGCACUUUUCCUCCACGCUUUGAGAGAAAGAGAAUUGGCUGGAAUAAAACCUUGCCUUCCAUAUGGUCGACUUGAAAUACAGCAUUGAAAAGGUAUCGUCUCUUUUUUCUUUUCUGAAACCAGAGGUGAAACGCACGAGCAAAUAGCAGUGUUGAUGCCAAAGCACCUGUUGAUUCAUAUCAAAAAAGUCCUUGGCAAGGCACCCCCAGCUUCAUCUUUUGAAAACCUGACUAGAUGAUCUCUGUGCAUUGGUAGCAUCAUAUCAACAACAUAUGCUGCUGGUCACUCACUUCAGAAAGCCUAGAUUCUACAUGUAGUCAGGAGCUGAAUGGAAAGUUUUGCUUUUGCUUUGACAAAACACUUUGUAAGUAUGUUUGGCUGUGAAGUGUUUGCUGAUUCCUGAAGUCCUGAGAUCUAUUGUCAAGGACAGUGAAAAGAAGGUGACACUAGAGCUUUCUUUCACCUUGAUUAAUUCUAGUAAGGAAAAGCAGUAGUUUGUCUUAUCAAUUGUUUUAAACUAAAAUACUUCAGGCCCAUAAAAAUAUAAAGAAUAAUGUGAAUGCACAAGAAUCCACACCCAAAUUAAACAAAUAUUUGGCACACUUAUUUCUAAACCUGUUUUUUAUCUAUUAUUAUUCUAAGUUACAGAAAAUGAUAUACACAAAUUAAGUAUAUAGCUCAAUGAGCUUUUAUGUAAGUAUAUAUCCAUGUGACAAUACCCAAUCCAAGAUACACAACAGUCACCAUACCUAGGAAGAGUCCCUUGUGCUUUCUUGAGUGUGAUAUUCUCCAAACCUUUAACAAAAAAAUUUUUUUUAAAAAAGCAAAAGUAUUCUGACCUCUGUCAUUAUGAACUAGUUUUACAUAAGCCAUAAGCCAUUGUAUGGCUUCUAUAAAGUGUAUUCUACUGUAGAAAUUUGUUGAGUCUCUCAUUGUUAGAUGCUAUUUUUUGUAUUUCCCAAUCACAGCUAAUACUGCAGUUAACAUUUUUAUACAUGUGUUUACAUGUAGGAGGAAUUGCCUAACUAUAAGAAAUGUGCAUUUUCAAUUUCACUAGGAAUGUAAAGUUUCUCUCCAAAGUGGUAGUAGCAAUUUAUAUUCUCAUUAGCCAUCUGUGAGAACUUCUCCACAUACUUCAUAACAUUUGGGAUGGCUAGACUUAAAUUUUUUGUCAAUUUGAUAGGUAUUAAAUAAUAUCUCAUUUUAAAAAAUUUUUUUUUACUUAUAAACCAUUGGAUUUCUUUUGUGUGUUGCCUGUUUGUAUAUUUACC
rnacentral:lncRNA from 1 species